GGAAGGCCAAGUGGAAGUUCCCUUUCUAGUUUGUGUGGUAUGACACAGAUGUCACUACUGUGAGGAAGAAUGAAAUGUUAUCCAACCCUAAUCUCUGGCAGAUGUCUUAUCCUUCUCCAAAGUGAUGAUGUAGAAGCUCUCUUAACUCCAGGAGCUGCCCCAUCGUCCAGUCAUAUACAGACAGCUAAGUGGAAGCCAGGAAAGGUGAUUCUAAAAUCUUUUCCUUUAAGCAUCAGCCAGUCACAUA
rnacentral:lncRNA from 1 species